AAGUAAAGAAAAACGUUGAAUUAUUUCACUCUAAAACUUUCCAGGGGAGUUGGCAUUUUCCCUGGCUUUAAAGUCUUGCUUAUACCAUCACAGUAACUAGAGGCUUUCUUCUUUCAUUUUUGGCUUGUUGUUUUAAUCUGCUAUGCUGAUAUCUGGCAGUUUGCAGCAUAAGCAAAGUCAUUGUCGGCAUCAGCAACAAAAUCAUUAACCUGAAUUAUUGAUUACCUCCUACAUACAGUGAUGGAUGGCUUAACAAUGGAGAUAUGUUCCAAGAAAUGUGUCGUUAGGUGAUUUCACCAUUGUGUGAACAUCAUAGAGAUGAUUUACACAAAGCUGAAUUCUACCUGUGGAAACAGUUUCUCAUGAGUGCCUCUGCCCCUUUGAAAAGUAUAGAAAGUAAACAGAAGCAGUUAAUCACAUGUCAAACACAAAAAGUGACUUGGGAACAC
rnacentral:lncRNA from 1 species